rnacentral:rRNA from 1 species
UACGGAGGGAGCUAGCGUUGUUCGGAAUUACUGGGCGUAAAGCGUGCGCAGGCGGUUGUGCAAGACAGAUGUGAAAUCCCCGGGCUCAACCUGGGAAUUGCAUUUGUGACUGCACGGCUAGAGUGUGUCAGAGGGGGGUAGAAUUCCACGUGUAGCAGUGAAAUGCGUAGAGAUGUGGAGGAAUACCGAUGACGAAGGCAGCCCCCUGGGAUAACACUGACGCUCAUGCACGAAAGCGUGGGGAGCAAACAGG